rnacentral:rRNA from 1 species
ACGAACGCUGGCGGCGCGCCUAAUACAUGCAAGUCGAGCGAGAAGACGUAGCAAUACGUUUGUAAAGCGGCGAACGGGUGAGGAAUACAUGGGUAACCUACCCUCGAGUGGGGAAUAACUAGCCGAAAGGUUAGCUAAUACCGCGUACGCUCCUUGGACUUCGGUUCAGGGAGGAAAGCGAUACCGUGGGUAUCGCGCUCUUGGAUGGGCUCAUGUCCUAUCAGCUUGUUGGUGAGGAACGGCUCACCAAGGCUUCGACGGGUAGCUGGUCUGAGAGGACGAUCAGCCACACUGGCACUGCGACACGGGCCAGACUCCUACGGGAGGCAGCAGUAAGGAAUAUUGCGCAAUGGGCGAAAGCCUGACGCAGCGACGCCGCGUGGGGGAUGAAGGUCUUCGGA